rnacentral:rRNA from 1 species
GAUGAACGCUGGCGGCGUGCCUAAUACAUGCAAGUCGAGCGAACAGACGAGGAGCUUGCUCCUCUGACGUUAGCGGCGGACGGGUGAGUAACACGUGGAUAACCUACCUAUAAGACUGGGAUAACUUCGGGAAACCGGAGCUAAUACCGGAUAACAUGUUGAACCGCAUGGUUCAACAGUGAAAGACGGUCUUGCUGUCACUUAUAGAUGGAUCCGCGCCGCAUUAGCUAGUUGGUAAGGUAACGGCUUACCAAGGCGACGAUGCGUAGCCGACCUGAGAGGGGGAGCGGGCACACAGGAAAGCAGACACGGGCCAGAGUCCUACGGGGGGCGCAAGAAGGGAAAAUUGCGCAAUAGGCGCAAGCCUCACAGGGCGAAGCCGCGCGUGAGAUAAAAAUGUUGUGGUAGUGAAAAUCUGUUUUAUGGGAAAAAAAAAAGUGUGAGAAACUAUGCACGUGUCGACGGGGCCUAAAAAGAAAACCCCGGCUCAAUACGCG